CACACACACACACACACACACACACACACUACAUGUAAUAAUUUUUUAAAACCUCAAGUUGUGGAAAUGUUUCCCUGAGGCUCUCAGCAGGGUUGUGCCAUGUCACAAUGUGCAGAAGACUCUCCCACUCGGUGUCACCUAAGACCCCAGGCAGUCCUUUCUGUACCUUGGGUCUCAGAAGUCCCCUUGUGAGAGCAACUCUGUCAGCUGCUGCCUACAGCCUAUGCCCUGGAAAUACAAUAUUUGCUUUCUGGCAUCUUUCUCUUUCUUUGACUACUGGAACAACUCUCCUGGAAUUCACUAGCCUGAAAGCAAGUCAACUGGAGUCAACUUCCAGGUAGGUGAAGCAGGUGAUGUCUGGGAACUCAGCUGAUAUGCGCUACUACAUCCGGGUCUCAGCCUAGGCUCUCUGUGCCUGCCUUUUUCUCGUGGGUUCUCAGGGACCACACUAAGGUCUUCGUGCUUGUGUGGAAAGCAUUUUAUUGACUGAGCCAUCACCCCAGCCUCAAUUUAUUAUUUUUUAUGUAUCUGAAGGGAAGGAAAUUAGUAUGUUCAAGAGACUUCUACCCCCUGUGUUUACUGCCUCAAUAUGCACAAGGAAGUUGUGGUCACCUUUUGUAAGGGGUGUGUGCCCUCUGCGAUGGCCCAGCCCGGCUAGGUCCACACUAGCUGUCUAUUUCACUCAAGUCCUGGAAGAAUGUGUGCUCAUGAUCUCUGGCUGGCAGUCACAUGGAUGGGCUGCAUGCUGUCAGAAGAAAACCAUGCCAACGGCCAAUGCAGAAGCCCUCAGGCAGUCAGGCUGCUUUGGCAAAGGAAGCAGGCCUGUGCAGAGAGGAAAAUGUUUUGGCUUUGCUAGUUAGGUGAACAGAGAUAUCUCAGGCUGUGGGAGCAGGCCUGGGAGCCCUGACAGCGUGUCCUUUGGGCCUCCAGUGAACACCAUGCUCAAAAGAGAAGGUGGCAAGUUCCAGGGUGUCCUUGGAUAGCGGUUGAACUUCAGAUCAAAAUGAAAAUUUAUUUUGAUGGGCAAAAAUCAAGCUUCUGUAGUUUGGGGCACAUGGUAAGGGAACUGAGGCUCAAGGUGGCACAUCUAGAAACUGGCAAUGCAGACUGCUUCUGAUCUGUGGCCUAUUUUGGGGCUCCUGUGCAGUAUCCCUCCCAGCCGUGUGUACAAUCUACAGUGUGCAGCACGCCAAACUGAAAACCACCACCGUACAAUGGAAAAGGAAAAUAGACUUCUUCAGAUGUGACCCAAAGCAAAGAUCUAAUUCAAAAUCAUUUAGCUUCCUCUCUGCCACCUGAGACCACAGCCGUAUUUCUCCAGCAGCCAGGGCUCACUGGAGGAAGACUUACAGACAUAGUCUGGCUGGCUGACUUUUCAGCAUCAGCAUUUACAGAGACCCUGCUGUCAAAGGACUUACCAGUUUCUAACACUUAAAACCACACUUGCUGCACAAACGCCCACGCCUAUACUCAAAAUUCCCAGUCCUGGAGUUUUAGCAAACCCUGGCUGACUUUUACACUCUAUGUCUGUGUCUUCCAACCGCUGCUGAGCACCCUGGGAAGCCAGUGCUCCGUGGGUCCUUAUGAUGCAAGAGGCAGAAAGAGCCUCUUGCUGAAAUUCAUGUGUCUCAUCUUGGCCACCACUCACAAUCUUAUUUUUAUAUUUAAAAAAAAAAAACCUGAAAAAUGCUGACAGUGGGGAUCUUUUUUUCUGAAUACAGGCAUACUUCUAAGGACCACAAAGGGAAGAAAUCAUGGUGUGAGAGAUCAGUCAACAGACUACAGAAAAACAAAUUUCUGCACAACCGAAUAUUCAUUAAAAAAUGAAAGGAAAGUAGCAUGAAGGAAAUAUUUUUAAUAGAAGCGACAGAGGCCUAAUAUCAUUAAUGGGGAUGAAUCUUUCAUGAAUUGAAAAAAAGAAAUCAGCAGAAAAAUGGACAAGGGCCAUGAACAGAAAAUUAAGAGUAUAGACAAUCUGCAAUAAACAUGAAAAAGAGUUUCAUCUCAGGAAUAAUCAAAGAAAUGUAAAUUAAAAUAAUAUGAAAGGACUGAUGUUUGCAAACUCUCUGUCAAAGGUGGAAAAGAUAAAUUCCAGUGUUUGUAAGCAUGUAGGAUGUGUUUUUUCCAUUUCUCAGUUUGAUGUAUACAGACUUGCCUCCCAUGACCAUUCAGCCUUGUGUUUCUUUGACUCUAAAAGUUUUUAAGUGUUGAAGUUCUCUGACCCACUAAUUCUAAUUUAUAUACCAAGAAAAUAAUGAAGUAGGAGUUGUGUUCAUCAUGGCGUUGUUUACAUUAACAAAACCUGGGCUCAUAGGAAGCUAAAUUCCCAGAAAGAAAGUUAUUUGAAUAAAUUACAACAUGUGUAUUGCUACACAGGCACAAAAAUUUUAAUGAAUGUUUGGAAUGACAUUAGAAAAUGUCCAGCAUAUUUAAUGCAUACAUAUGCAAACACAGGCACGUAGGCAUAAUGUAAUCUCAAUUGCUUAAAAGAAUAUCCAGUAAACAUUGCAUAGACCAAAGCGAAGGAAACCCCCGAGUGUGCAAUGGUGACUCUGGGUAGAGGGAAUAUGGUAUUACGGCAAUAAGAAUAUGUGGCAGCCUGUGUUGGAGAACUCUCUGAAAAAGUAAACCAUCCGUGACAGCAAACUGUUUCAGACCUAGGCCUUAAGCAGGAGCUGAAACUAGACAACCCCAUUGGAGCAUCCCUGACUACUGUCAACACACCCUAGAAACAGACGAUGACUGCAUGUUUGUUUGCCUUUGUGCACUAGAGAUUGAACCUAGGGCCUCACAUAGCCUAUACAUGCUAGACAACCUCUCUACCACUGAGCUGCACCCCCAGAUCUUGUAAGAUGUAGCAUGACCUUGUGACACUUGCUUAUAAGUAGGCUACCAUGCACAGGGGACAUCUGCUAACAGAAAAAUGGCAUGCACGGGGUGACUAUGUGACUCACUAGGUAGAAACACAUUUUUUUUCCCAGAAAAGCACUAUCACUUACUACAAUAAUUCUAGAAAUAUUAAAAUGUUUGCUUAAUGAAUAUCUAUAUCUAUAUAUCACAAAAGUUGAGACAGUAUGGAGAAACAGAAGAAAAAAUCAGUUCUCCCAUGCAAAGAUGGCUACUGUUCACAUUUUGUUAUAUUUUUACCUGUAAGAAUGAUAUAAUUUUAACUGGUUUGUUGUUCUUUUGGGUUUUUGAUAUGUUUGAUGUGUUUGGAUAAUUGCUAUGUUUCUUUCCUAAAGAAAUAACUUUUAU